GUUCACAGGAGUCACAACCUGCAACACUGAUGCUGCAUUCAGGGAACCUGGGAAAGAUGGGAGAGAAGACUUUCCAGCUUCCAAACAGUGUUCACAUCAGCUUUCAGGCUGGAAGUAGAACUUGUAGAUGUGAAGGAACAUCAACUUCACUCCGCCAGCCACAGGUCUGUGAAGUGCCACUCUCUAAUCAUGGUAGUGAAAGUGAUUCAUAUGGCGUGUCAGAAGAUGACGCUGAGAUGGAUGAUCCAGAGUUCCUUUCUUCUGCAAAAAUACAUGCUGCCCCACCAGGACCUUAUGAUAUUUCCCAGUCCAGAGGAACAGGACCUACCCAGCCUCAGCUAAAAGUAUUCCCUCGAACACUACAAGGCAUGUAAGCUCCCAGAACUCCGCAGCGGCUCCGUUGUAGCCACUAAACCAAAGCAGAGAGCGGCUGUGUGCUUCUGACUGGUUCUGAAGUCCACCAACCUUUGUUAUGAACAUUCCCGGGACUGAAACUGUUCUGGAGAACCUGGAGGCUGAAACACCACAGUUCCCAGCUUUGGUCUCCAGUCCUGCACCACAAAGCGGUUUGAACUACGGUACCAUGUCACACACCAACAACUAGAUAACAGCAGACGUUUGUUGUAAUAAAUCAAAUAAAAACUGAGUAAAUAAAGAGAAAACCUGUCAGAAUGUAAAACAUGUGGACAAAGUGAGUUGAGGAGCUUUACCCUCCUCUUCAUCCCUGUUAGCAGGAUGAAGGCUCCCUCUUGUGGUGUGCAUCAGUUUUCACAUUCCAGUUGUAAACCUGCAGGAAGACGUGGAAAAACUUCACUGAGCCUUUGGCAGCUUCAACAACAUCAGUAAAGAGAGAUUGAAAUAUCUGUAAUAUCACACUGUGUCAGUUUGUUCACAGGAGUCACAACCUGCAACACUGAUGCUGCAUUCAGGGAACCUGGGAAAGAUGGGAGAGAAGACUUUCCAGCUUCCAAACAGUGUUCACAUCAGCUUUCAGGCUGGAAGUAGAACUUGUAGAUGUGAGAUUUAAGU